rnacentral:lncRNA from 1 species
GUGUUAUACGUUCGAGAAUCGUCCAAAAAAUUAAUAAUUUAAAAAUAUAUAUUCUAAAGAGUUUAGACUUAAGACAUAUAUAAUUAAUUCUUAAAUUACUUCUAAUCAAUUGAUCAUCAUGCAGAUGGUGAUUGAUCCGGUUAGAUCGGCACGCGGAUCCCUUCCUUUAGGAUAAACGAGUCUCAAGUCUACAAUAUGGAGAUACUGAGCAAGAGUGUAGGUGAUUGUUAGAGAACAUCGGCACU